rnacentral:rRNA from 1 species
GACAGAGGGUGCAAACGUUGUUCGGAAUUACUGGGCGUAAAGCGCGUGUAGGCGGCCCUGUAAGUCGGGUGUGAAAUCCCACGGCUCAACCGUGGAAGUGCAUUCGAAAACUACAGGGCUAGAGUUCUGGAGAGGAAGGUGGAAUGCUUGGUGUAGAGGUGAAAUGCGUAGAGAUCGGGAGGAACACCAGUGGCGAAGGCGACUCACUGGACACGUAUUGACGCUGAGGUGCGAAAGCGUGGGGAGCAAACAGG